AUACCAGUGCUGCUUUUCACAAAUGUAGACGAAACUACAAGCACAUCUUUCCAUCAGUGACUAGAAUGACUUCUAUUACGCUGCUCAUUUGCAAGUCACUUUGAGUAAAAGCAUCUUCUAAAUCAACACAAGUAAAUGGAAUAUAAUCACCUUUGUUGUUGUUUUGAAUAAAAUAAAAGCAUCUGCUGAAAUGUGAGCAGAAUAGAAUGGAAGUCUCAUCAUGACGCAGUCAUAAGUGCAGUUUUCAGUGUAUUGUUUAUUGUUUUGGCCAUGAUCUUUCACAUACUCCCUAAUGAUUAAUCAUCUCAUUUACAUUCAGAAGCUUGUUGAACGCAUGUGCAGUGUUUAGUGGGAUACCGUACAUUGAGUUCUUGAACCGCACAGGGAUCCGUCGAGCCAAUCAGAUUCAAGUAGGCGUGCCUUCGGAUUCAUCCGACCAAUCGUCGCGCAGUGGGCGCGGCUUCGCACCGGCGUUGUAAACAGUGUAAAGCAGGGGACUGGAGGUGUGUAUAAAUAUCAGCGUGUCGCUCGUGCUGUCUUAUGAACUCAUGCCGCGCAUCAGCUGCUUGUAGUCCGCACUGUUUCCGUGGAGCUGACGGCAAUCUGCUCGCGCUACAGGUGAGGUGCCUUUAAACUCUGGACCAAACCAACAGUGCUGAAAAUGAAGAUCUGUGUUGCUUUUAUUGUAGUAGCUGUUCUUCACAUCACUCAGGCUGGUGAGUUUCUGUCUCUCAUGCUCUGAUGCAUCCAUUUGUCACAAAGUGCUUCAAUGGCAUGACUUUUUCUUAAAAUAAAAUAAAUGAAAAAAUAAAAAUGAAUAAAAUAACAAAUGAAAAUAUAAAAUAAAAUAUGAAAUAAUAUAAUAUAAAAAUAAUAAAUAAAAUGUAUCUUUGAACUACAAUAGCUCAUAGUACUUUGAAAGCAUAAAGUAUGCUUUGAAUAAAAUGAAAUGUAAAAUGUAGAUAAAAUAUCUUUAUUCAGUAAAAUAUAUAAAUAUGAUUUUUUAAUAUAAAAUAAAAAUAUUUAAUAAAAUGUAAAAAUAUAAAUGAAAUAUAAAAUAAAAAGUUUCUUUAAACUACAAUAGUUCUUUAUACUUUGAAAGCAUAAAGUAUACUUUGAAUAAAAUUAUAAAAUAUAAAAUAAAAUAUACAAUUAAAAAGGCAUUAUAUAAAAAGGAAUUUCUUUUUAUCUUUAAAAUACAUUAUUAUUUUUUAGAAUAAUCACUGAGUUUCUGACAUGUUAACAUAAGCAUUAACAUAACUUUGUUUUAACUUUGCCUUGGUUGCAUAAUUUCUCUUCUCUAAUAUUAUUAAUAGCCCUUUGUGUUUGUCAUCCCUCUGUUAUCUUCUGUUGCUUUACAGGCUGAAUUGUGCUUGAUGUACAGUAUCAGAGAUUAGCUAGCAUGUGGCUAUCCAAAAUACCGACAUCCUUUCAGUCUUAUUUUAAUCCGUCCUACAGAGAGAGACCGCAUGACUAAGAGUCUUGUUACUGAAGAAGUCUCUUGGAUUUAGUUUGCCAAACCCACAGAAGCCCUUUGAGAAUUUUUUCCACCGUGUUUCAUUGUAGUCCAGCAAACUCUAACUCAGUUUUAAGCCAAAAGCCAACAGCACAAUCCAUAUCAGGCCCGUAAAUGUGGUGCAUUUCUGCUCCUUUCAACUUUGCUCAGCAAAGUAGCUUUACUAAAAUUUAACUGAAGUUGCUUUCAGACCUUGUAGUUGUAAAUGUGAUUUGCAAUCAUAAAAAAGCAGCACAGCCUUC
rnacentral:lncRNA from 1 species